rnacentral:rRNA from 1 species
UGACUAUAAGUUCAACGGCCGCGGUAUUUUGACCGUGCAAAGGUAGCGCAAUCACUUGUCUUUUAAAUAGAGACCUGUAUGAAUGGCCAAACGAGGGCUUAACUGUCUCCCUUUUCAAGUCAGUGAAAUUGAUCUACCCGUGCAGAAGCGGGUAUAAUAAUACAAGACGAGAAGACCCUAUGGAGCUUAAGGUACAAAACUCAACCACGUCAAGCAACUCAAUGAAAAGAAAAAACUUUGUGAAACAUGAGAUUUUACCUUCGGUUGGGGCGACCACGGAGGAAAAAAAAGCCUCCAAGUGGAAUGGAACAAAUUCCUAAAACCAAGAGAGACAUCUCUAAGCCACAGAACAUCUGACCAAACAUGAUCCGGCCCAAAAAAGCCGAUCAACGAACCAAGUUACCCUAGGGAUAACAGCGCAAUCCCCUCCCAGAGUCCAUAUCGACGAGGGGGUUUACGACCUCGAUGUUGGAUCAGGACAUCCUAAUGGUGCAGCCGCUAUUAAGGGUUCGUUUGUUCAACGAUUAAAGUCCU